rnacentral:lncRNA from 1 species
UCAUUUCGAUCAGAGCUGGGCCAAUUACUGAAGAGGAUCUCUUCUACUGCAUUUAAGCAGCACAAUAAAUUCAAAGAAACUGAAAUUUCCGACAAUUACAGAACAGGUACGUGCUCUUUCUCCCUUCAUUCGUCUAGGCUCAAAUUUAUCCUCCCUGGGUGAUAAGGGAAUGUGUAAAAAUGAUUGGCCUAAGUCUAAAUUAAAGAUGAAGACAUACAAGAAAACAUUCAAACAUUUCUUUUUUUUUUUUUUUUCACGCAUGCAAAAGCACAGUGAUCUCCAACAGAAAUGAAACCCUGCUGCUGCCACCAGCAGGAUUUCUAACAGACAGGGGGACCCAAUCUUUUCCCGUUCUCUGGGGUCCCUGCAAGCGCCGCGAGACUGGAACCCUCUCUCAAACUUUACACAAACGCAAGGAGGAAAAAUUAAGCAUAUGAUGCGUGUUGGGGCUUCAGGACAAUCCAAGGAAUUUGGUGCCGGGAAACAGGAAUUCACCGAUCCUUUUUGUAACUGCAGCCCCUACACACCGUCAGCUACUCCUUUUGCUCUUCCCGUGGAAUGAUAUUCAGGUCUUUCCCGAACUCCAGGGGUAAAAGGAGAAAAGAAGAAGAAGAAGAAAAAGGCAGUUCUCCAGCAUGGAUGUGUAUUGUUUGGUGUAGCUCCCCACCAAGAGGGCAGGAAAGAGGAUCAGCAGUGCUUGGACAUAUCUGGAGCACCAGUAAAGCAGCUGGAGGAAGAGAGAAUGGGGAGCUGUCAAAAGCAGAUGGGAGAAGGCUGAGGCAAGAGGAUAAGGCAGGUAAGGACAACAGGAGAAUUUCCUGGGGCUGCCAGCACAAAGGGUGAGGCUCCGCAGACCCCAAACCACGAUAGUCUUCUGCUUCAGCUGUUAUGGAGGAGCAUUUCUGAGUGCCAGACACUGCAUUCAGUCCACGAUCUCAUUUAAUCCUCACAUCACAGGAAACUGGCUGACACUCAGAGGGGUUAAGUCUAUGCCUUACUUACAUAGCCAGUUCGUGGCAGAGCCUCAAGUCUGCCCAAGGCAUGCUGACCCUGGUCCCUUGCUCUUUCUACCUGACCCGCCACAGCUCACAGAUACUCAGGGAUGCCAUGGAGCCUCGCAAGCAUCCAGACACCUCACUCAUUCUAAUCCAGGCAAAGAAUAGGGAAUGAUUUCUCUUAAAUAUCGCCCCUUUUGAAGCUUUUUCAUGCUUGCCAACACAAAGUUGCCACCACAAACAUACAUCCCUUGAGGAUAAGGGGGUUCCCAAUGGCUAGUCCCAUGAGUCUGUGUUCAGGGAAAUGUUGAAGGGAUGGUAAAAACAAAGGAAACCCCCAUACAAGGCAAUGCUUUUGUUAAGUAACUUUGGGAAACACCAUCUACCUCCCACAAACUCCUGGAGAGUCACUCCACAUGUUAGAAUAUUAAAGAGUAUUAUGACAAAUCCUGCAGAAAAGAGGUCUGUCUAAAGCAUUUCCCCUACUUAUCUGAACACAAAAAAUUUUUUUUUCUCCUAUUGGACAUAAGAUCACAUCAGCUUAUCUUCCAAUGAGCCCAUCUCAGGAAAC